rnacentral:rRNA from 1 species
GAUGAACGCUGGCGGCGUGCUUGACACAUGCAAGUCGAACGGAAAGGCCCAAGCUUGCUUGGGUACUCGAGUGGCGAACGGGUGAGUAACACGUGGGUGAUCUGCCCUGCACUUCGGGAUAAGCCUGGGAAACUGGGUCUAAUACCGGAUAGGACGAUGGUUUGGAUGCCAUUGUGGAAAGUUUUUUCGGUGUGGGAUGAGCUCGCGGCCUAUCAGCUUGUUGGUGGGGUAAUGGCCUACCAAGGCGUCGACGGGUAGCCGGCCUGAGAGGGUGUACGGCCACAUUGGGACUGAGAUACGGCCCAGACUCCUACGGGAGGCAGCAGUGGGGAAUAUUGCACAAUGGGCGCAAGCCUGAUGCAGCGACGCCGCGUGGGGGAUGACGGCCUUCGGGUUGUAAACUCCUUUCGCUAGGGACGAAGCGUUUUUGUGACGGUACCUGGAGAAGAAGCACCGGCUAACUACGUG